rnacentral:tRNA from 1 species
CGGGGCGUAGCGCAGCCCGGCUAGCGCGCUUGCUUCGGGAGCAAGAAGUCGUGAGUUCGAAUCUCACCGCCCCGACCA